UACGUAGGGGGCAAGCGUUGUCCGGAAUCAUUGGGCGUAAAGCGCGUGUAGGCGGCUCGGUAAGUCUGCUGUUAAAGUCCAGGGCUCAACCCUGGGAUGCCGGUGGAUACUGUCGAGCUCGAGUCCGGAAGAGGAGUGUGGAAUUCCUGGUGUAGCGGUGAAAUGCGCAGAUAUCAGGAGGAACACCAAUGGCGAAGGCAGCACUCUGGGACGUGACUGACGGCUGAGACGCGAAAGCGUGGGGAGCAAACAGG
rnacentral:rRNA from 1 species